rnacentral:lncRNA from 1 species
AGGGAGUGGAGCUGGGAACUACUACCAGCAGGCAGGCCCAGGAUCCCGAGUGUGUCCUGAGAGUCAGUGCCUGGUACUGGAUAGGAACUUCAUGGAAUGGAGCUAAUGGGCCGUAGGGCAGGUUUGAGUCGUGCCACCCUGGAGCAGAAGGUGGAGGGUAGGGAUAAGGGGGUGGAGCACCUGAUUCCAAUCUUGCCACAGGGAAGAAGAGUCUGUGAAGAAGUGCGUGAUGACUGUGUGUCCCCCCCCACCCAGAAAUUGGCAUUUGGGAGGGGUGGAUAUGG